AUAUAUUAGGUGCCACUUAAUUGUUAGCUAUUUUUAUUACCAUCAUUAUUAUUCCUUAGUUAGGAACUUGAACUCUGGGGAAAACCUCAGAAUUGUUUCUCAGUCAGGAAAGAUCAGGGGUGUCUGAGGAUGCUGGAGAAAGAAGAACCUCUUGAAACAGUGCUGGGAAGGACCAGAAGGAGGAGUUUCAUUUUCUAAAAGGGAGAUGUCGUAUAUGUGGCCAUUGGAGUUCCAUUUUAGAUCCCUUCAUACUCAUUCUUGGAAGAAAGGCCUGAGGAAACAGGCUUCUCCCACUUGCCAAGCAACAGAGUGAAAGCCAUCACUCCCCAUCCAGAGGCUUUGCUUUCCUCACCUCCAAAGACACAUCCCUUCCACGUGCGUCCAGUGAAGAGCAACAUCGGGUCGUAGGUGAGCAUCUUGGCUGAUGGAGGAGCUCCUACUACCACGCUGGUCCCAUAGUUCAUAUGGCAGGAUGCCAGAGCAUCAAUCUGAGUUUAAAAUAGAGGAGAUCGUUUGCUUCCUAUGUCUCUUAUAGUGUAACAUAAGCUCUGAAAUGACCUAUGUACUAUGGCAAAGUCAUGGAAUUAAAUUAAGCCAUCUUCUGUUU